rnacentral:rRNA from 1 species
UGUCAGAGCCAGAUCACAGUGCAGCUCUUGCCAGGUUUCCCACUGAAGCUAAGCAGGGUUGAGCCUGGCCAGUACCUGGAUGGGAGACCUCCUGGGAUUGCUGCUAGAAGCGGUGUUGG